AAGUCGUAACAAGGUUUCCGUAGGUGAACCUGCGGAAGGAUCAUUAACAAAAAAAUACAAAAAAAUAAAACACUAUUAACCCCCUUUCUAGAACUUUAAACUUUUUGGUGCCAUUUUGACCCUAUUUUUUAUUUACUAAACGAAAUCUAAAACAACAUAAAAAUUACAUAAAAAAAAAACAACUAUCACACUAAAUUCUUAGUGUCUAAAACAAAAAUUAAUAAGAAACAACUCUUAACAAUGGAUAUCUCGGCUCUCGU
rnacentral:misc_RNA from 1 species